rnacentral:misc_RNA from 1 species
CCAAACUUGGUCAUUUAGAGGAAGUAAAAGUCGUAACAAGGUAACCGUAGGUGAACCUGCGGUUGGAUCAUUACCAAAGCAAAGUGGGAUAAUCCAAACUGGAUAACCCAUCAACACAAAUGUGUAUAUAAUAAUUAACAUCCAUAAAUCAUCCAAAACAAUUAUUAUUCAAUUUAUUGCCAAAUGAAACCAUGAAACAAAAACAAAAACAAAAACAACUUUUGACAAUGGAUCUCUUGGCUCUCGCAUCGAUGAAGAACGCAGC